UCCGUUAUGGUGUAGUGGCUAACAUUAUCGCCUCUCAUAAGACUUGUAAUUUCGCGAGCGCGAUAGCCCAGGGUUCGAUUCCCUGUAACGGAA